UACGUAGGGUGCAAGCGUUGUCCGGAAUUAUUGGGCGUAAAGAGCUCGUAGGCGGUUUGUCGCGUCUGCUGUGAAAACUCGGGGCUUAACUCCGGGCCUGCAGUGGGUACGGGCAGACUGGAGUACUGCAGGGGAGACUGGAAUUCCUGGUGUAGCGGUGGAAUGCGCAGAUAUCAGGAGGAACACCGGUGGCGAAGGCGGGUCUCUGGGCCGAUACUGACGCUGAGGAGCGAAAGCGUGGGGAGCGAACAGG
rnacentral:rRNA from 1 species